CCGGCACCUCCCUCCGGCGCGCUCUUCCCGGCGCCUCCCGCCGUCGCCCCGCUUUCCAGGCCCUCGCUUUGGGGGUGAGGUCCCGACGGAGAGACGUUGGCGACGCCGAGGCGGGACCCCCAGGAGGACCUCUUGCUCUCCGCCCUUUACCCCUGAGUUACUUCAUCCCAAGGCUCCAGUGGGCUUUCGGGCCGGGAGUGACACCCAUCCCCGCUCCGAGAAGUAAGCAGGAGGAGCGGUGACUCCUGGAACAGCCCGCGAGCGGGGGAGGGCAGGUGAGUCACUGCUCCGCGCACAGAUGCUGAUGCUGAUGAUGCUGAAGAUGAUGGCAAUUUUUGAUAAUGAUGACGAUGAAGAUGCUAUCCUUGAAGACAAGGACCAGUAGGGAGCCCUUCUCUCAGAAUGGAGCCAGAGCCAGCACCACGGGCAAAGGGCUGAUCAGGAUGCAGCACUGCCUAGCAUGUGAUCUGAACUGGAGUUAGGCCACCUGUGACCUCCUCAGGGCUCCAUUCUAAUUGUUUGUGUGGCCUCACCAAGUGUCAAUUUCCUCACCUCUAAAUGGAAAGAUUACCUGA